UUACUAAUAAGUAUAACUACCAAUUGGAGGCAUUUCAGUGUAAUUGAUCUGAACACUUUGAAAUGGUCUCAGUGCUGGAUUUCUUCCACCAAGGCGCAAUUUCCUUAGAUCCUGCUUAUUAGCUUUUUUUACAUGUUAAGCAACUAUCUAUAACUUGUUUGGCCAGGGUGUAAAUUCUUAUACACCCAUAAACCCGGAGAACUGCAUUGCACAUUGCUUGGGGUCCCCAAUGGGUCCCUUGAUGUAAUUGAGACAAGACUUCCCUCAUGAGAGGUUUUGACAACAUUUCCCUUUGAUCUGAUAAUAUCCAUUUCCUAUCCGCAUUUUCUUUAGCUCCUAUUUUUAUCAACGUCUUUUGUUCAAUGGAAGAGAAAACGGGUUACAGUAGGAGGAGGGCAUGGAGUUAAAUGGAAGAAAUGGCAACUUGUUUUGCUAUUUUAUUGUAACCGACUGAGUUAUAGAGAGAAUGCCACAGUCUGAGACUAAUUCAGUGAUCCUUUAUUGCCAGCAACCGAGAGACGGCUAGAGCUCAAAAUUCUCUCAGCCCCGAAGAAGGGGCUACACAUCUUUUUACACCUUGGUCUAAAGAGGGGAGGAGGAGUGUAGCUGAAGCAAUUUUUUACAGAAGCAGAACAGGCAAAAAAGUUGAAAGAUAAAUGGUUACAGAAACAGUAAUAAGAAAAUAAACAGUUCCAGGUGCAGGGGCUUAAAUUAUCACAAAGUGAUAAACGCAAAGGCUUUGGGCACCGUCAACCGAGUGCGUUCCCAGGAGCUGCUGGUACAGCUUGCCUCAGUAUCUUAUCAGUAAGCGCAUUCUUGGAUGUGCUUGGAGUCAGCUUGCACCAGUUAUGUCCUUAAGGGAGGGGGACAAGGGGCUGCAAGUGAAGAAACCAAAAUGGAGUCUGUCCAGCUCUCUCAGCUAAGAGAGAGUCAAUCAGGUUAAAAGAAGUUAGGGUAUCACAUUUCCCACUCGUGUUUGGGGGAAUCAGAUCAUUGAUUCCUCGGUUAUAACAAGGGUGUUAUAUUGGGUUCUAAGAUACAUAAGAUUGACAGAAGCUAUGCGUUGCUUUACAAAAUUAAGAAACCAAUUUAAUAUACAAGGCCUGAAGACUAACCCUAACAAGAGGAGGAGAAGGGGGUCCCGCCAACCCAGUAAUUAGAGUAGUUAGCCAGGGAUUCCAGUUAAACAUGCUUUGGUACUUUGGUACUCCAGGAAUGAGAAAGGUGGUGUUACUUUCUUGUUCCUUCUGGCAUCUAUCUAGAUUUUCUCGAACUCUUUGAAGAGUAUUUUUUAUGACUCCAGACUGAUUGGCAUAGAAACAACAACUUUCUUCUAGAGCUGUGCAUAAACCUCCUUGGGAGAUAAAUAGCAGAUCUAAGCCUCGGCGGUUUUGAAGAACUACUUCAGCUAGAGACUCUACCUGGGCAUGUAGUAUAUUUAUGGCUGAUUGGAGAUUGCUUAAAUCAGCAUCUACCUGUUGAGAUAGUGAUAUUAGUCCAGUUUCUCCUUGAAUCAGGGCAGUCGUGCCAAUAGCUGCUGACGUAGCUAUGCUAAGGCCAGCUAGAAGGGGUACAAGGAGUAGGGCAGCUCGGUGAAACCUGAAAUGCAAUUCAGGGGGAGCAAUGAGAAGUUGUCCUUCUGGCCCACUGUACAUGUAGAUCUGGGGGAGUACAUGAAUCAACAUGCAUAGGAGAGGUCCAGGUUCAGUCCCAUUGAUGCAGCGAGUGAGGCCUGAAAUGCAGGCCAACCAGGUAUUUUUGGGUGCCUGGUAGGAGACUGAGGGGUUUAAGGAAGUAAGGAGAGACUCACUACAAGUAGCCUGAAAGGGAGAAGCAGGUAAGUUAUACCUUGCGCUAAUUAGACAGAAGGCAUUCCCUGACACAUCUCCUAGUGUAAGGGCAUGGGGGCACGUAUGACAAGAAAGAGAGUCCAUUUUGAGCAUGGCUUCUACUCCUAAUCCAACAUAAUAUGGGGGUUUGGCCUUUCGGCACAACCAGCAAUCUCAGGCUAGUUUAGGCUUGGUGAGAUUAAGGAGGUGAUGUAUCCCGUCCAAAAUGGACAUCGGGCUGGGUUGGAGGUAUUGUCAUUGCAGCUGGGGUCUCAGAACCAGGAAUGGCAGUGGGACAGUUAAAUCGACUCUCUCUGGGUGUUUUUGGAACAUAGGGUCACCUAAAUCAGUUAAAGUUCUGAUUGGCUUCAUGGGACCAGGAAUUUUUUCUGGAUGGUGAACAUAGUUCCAACAUCAAAUCCUGAAAUAUAAAGCCUUAAUCCCUAUGACAUGCUGUAAUACCAUUGAGUUAAACUAGGGUUACGGAGAGUUAUAGUAAGAGGAUUACAAUUUCCUAUAGUACACGGCUUAGGAUGGGAAGCACAAGCUAUGGAAAGGGUUGAGGAUCAGGUUCAUCCUCCAGAGUAAGUGGCCAAGGUUACACACAUGCAGUAAGGGCAGAAAAACUGGUAAGAAUCUCGACAACUAGAGUCAGGGCGAUUUCCAGGACAAAGGUAAAAGUCAACGCUCUGGAGCCUUUUUUCUGCACCCUUAGAACUUCCACAUCCAGUUUGGCUUCUGGUGUGUCCGAACCCUGCAGCAAGGUCAGCGUUCCCUGCUCUCAUGAUCGGCAGAUUGCAUUGCUCUUCAAGGGUAUGGGCAGGGUCGGGGAACAAAGCACAUAAACCGACUACAAAAGAGACUUCCUUGGAGGGUCCCACCUUCCAAGUGGUGUUUGCAAACACACAUCCUGUCAUGAAGGAAGUGAGGAGAAAAGAGUAGGAAGGGGCAGAGGACAUAACAGGUGGAAACAGACAGAAGAGGUAAAUAAAAAGAAUUAAUUCGAUAGCUUUACUCAACUUAGGCGCAGUUUUAAGGGGCCUGGCCUAGGCUUGGGGACCCAUUUUUUUUGCUGGGCUUUGUUGGCCUUUUUGAUGCGAGAAUGAUGAAUCCAAGCAGGAGUGCCGUCCACCUUCAGAGCUGUUGGUGUGGUGAGGAUGACAGUAUGAGGUCCUUUCCAGGCAGGAGUCAGUCCUUUUUUCUGGAACUUUUUAACAUACACUAGGUCACCCAGCUGGAAAGAGUGGCAGGGCCCAGUCUGGUCAGGAACUGGGCUGGGGUGUGCUCCCCUGACAAGCAGCUGGAUGAUGUCUUGUACCCGUUGGAGAGACUGCAGGUACUGUAACAAGUUAGCUUGUGAGAUUUCUGCUAAAUGGGUAUCCUUUAGCUUAGGCAAGAUAGGCGGAGCCCUUCCAUACAUGAUUUCAAAAGGUGAAAACCCAGCCUGGUAAGGGGUGCAUCUUACUCUAAGAAGGGCUAAAGGAAGGAGCUUUACCUAGUUUUCACUGGUUUCUAGGAUUAAUUUUGCAAGAGUACUUUUUAGGAUGGGGUUCAUGCAUUCUACUUGUCCAGAGCUCUGGGGUCGAUAGGCACAAUGGAGUUUCCAUUGAAUGUUUAAUGCCUUGCUGACCGACUGAGCUAUGGACGAGGUGAAGGCUGGUCCAUUAUCAGACCUUAUUACAACAGGCAGUCCAUGUUGAGGGAUGAUUUCAUUGAGUAAAAGCUUAACUACCGUGGUAGCAGUUUCGUUUUUGGUGGCAAAUGCCUCAGUCCAUCCAGAAAAGGUGUCUACUAGCACCAGGAGGUAUUUAUACCCUGCCAAGUGUGGUUUUACCUCUGUAAAGUCAAUUUCCCACCUUCCUCCUGGCAAGCCUCCCUGGAGGCGGUGGCCUGGGCUGGGCUUAGGACCUUGCUUGGUGUUUACUUGGGCACAAGCCGUUUACUGGAGAGCUGCUUGGUUAGUUAAGUCCUGAAGGUGGGGGAUCUUGAAAUGGCUCCUUAGAAGCUGGGCCAGUUUUACUCCUCCUAAAUGGGUGGUAGAAUGUAGAUGAUUGAUAAAAGUUUCCCCAAGGGCUUGGGGCAUGAAGAUUCUGGAAUCAGGAAGAAUUCACCAACCUUCCUGAUUUUUACUGGCUUGAAGAUCCGAAGCUUGUUUUUCUUCCUCUGGGGAGUAUUCUGGGUAGUCUGCCCAGUCAGUUGUGGAAAGGACACAGAGGGCAGCAGGGUUAAAGGCACGACCAGGAGCUGAGCUGCCUCUCAAGCUGCAGAGUCUGCUCUUUGGUUACCACGAGCAAUGGCCAUGUCUUCUCUUUGAUGUCCUUUGCAGUGAAUUGCAGCCACCUGUUGAGGGAGCCAAACAGCUUCAAGCAGGGCUAAAAUUUCUUCUUUGUUGUUGACACUCUUUCCUGCUGAGGUGAGUAGCCCUCGCUCUUGAUAGAUGGCUCUGUGUACAUGUACAGUAGCAAAAGCAUACCUGCUGUCAGUGUAGAUGUUAAUACAUUUGUCUUUACCCUAUUGGAGGGCCUGAGUCAGGGUUACCAACUCAGUCCUCUGUGCCAAGGUACCUGCCGGCAGUGCCUGGGCCUACAGUACAUCUGUCUCCAUAGUAAUGGCCACACCAGCCUUCUGUACUCCCUGUUCAAGGAAGCUGCUACCAUCUGUAAACACGGUGGCAUCCACCUCCUUUAGAGGCACAUCUUGGAGAUGAGGUCAGCCAGUUUCCAUAGUUUCUAACAGUUCUUGGCAGUCAUGGACAGGUGUGGUAAGGUCUGGAUCAGGGAACAAGGUAGCUGGAUUUAAACACCUUGUGGGAGAGAAAGUUAAACGCGGCUGAUCUAACAGUAAACUCUGAUACCGCAAGAUGCGAGCAUUCGACAUCCAUUUGCCAGAAGCACUUUGUAGCAAGGUCUCUACAGCAUGAGGAGCCGUAAGGGUUAAAUUCUGGCCCAGAGUCAGUUUAUCAGCCUCCUGGACCUGGCUUGCUGUUGCCACUAUGGCUCACAGACAACUUGGCCACCCAGAGGCCACAGGGUCCAGUCUCUUAGACAAAUAGGCCACUGGGUGUUGCCAUGGCCCUAAAGUCUGAGUAAGUACCCCUUUAGCGACUCCUUGGUUUUCAUGAACAAAAAGGUGAAAUGGUUUUGAGAUAUUUGGGAGGGCAAGAGCAGGGGCCUCAGUUAGUGCCUUCUUCAGAUUUUGAAAAGCCUGUUCUUCUUUGUCAGUCCAAACCAGCGGGGUAUUCCCUCCAGUAGUGGUGUACAGGGGUUUGGCAAUUUCCAUGAACCCCAAUAUCUAUAGGCGACCAUAUCCCACGGUGCCCAGGAAUUCAUGUACCUGUCUCUUAGUGGUGGGAGUGGGGAUUUGAAGGAUGGCUGCCUUUCGAGCACUGGUGAGUGCCCUUUUUCCUUCAUUUGUCUCAUACCCUAGGUAGGAAAUGCUGGGAAGAAAAAGCUGGGCCUUCUUGGCUGGGACCUGAUACCCGAAUUCCUGAAGGAGUCCUGUACAGGCUGGUAAUCAUUUGUUCCGGGUUUCUGGACCGGCAAAAAUGGAAUAUUCCAGGCGAUCUCACAUGGUGUGAGUAUACCAGCUUGUAAUAGUUGCUGAAUAUGAGGAUUAAUUCCCUCUAUAGCCCACAGAAUCAUAGGAUAUUGUUUGACCUGGACCGGCAGGGUGGUGGCCAGGAGUUCUACAACAGCUGGCAGAUGGUGGUUUGCCAGUCCUGGGAGGUAUGAGGAAACAGAGUCUGUAAAGCCAGUAGGAGAGGAUUACUUUUAUUCUCCGGCAGUUGUGAGGGUGAAACUAAGAGAUAUUCCUCUGACCGAAGGGUGGUUAGCAGGAGCUGAGCAGUAGGGGGCAUUGUGUCCCCUAACAUGAGGUGAGUUUGUUGGGCCGAGAAGGAGAUGGACGCCUGUAGCUUAUGAAGCAGGUCUCAUCCGAGGAGGGAGAAGGGGCACUCUGGGACCACGAGGAACAAGUGGGUUACUCUUUUCUGUCCUAAACUCACCUCUCGUGAGUGGGUGACAGGAUAUUCCUGAAUAGCUCCAGUAGCCCUUUACUCAGCAACCUUUUUAUUAGACACUGCCUAAGGGUGUCUGGAGUACUGAGUGUUCCACCCCGGUGUCAAUUAGGAAGCGUACAGGCUGGCCCCCCACUGUGGUGGUCACCAUGGGUUCCCGGGGCCAAGUGACAAAGAGCCCUGGCCCCGUCAAUCAUCAGAUUCCUCUGCUGCGGGGCAGGGUGAGGACCUUUUUCUUUUCUGGUUUCUCCUCUGGCUUUAAUGGGCAUUCCUUUCUCCAGUGUCCAAUCUGCUUGCAAGAAGCACAUUGGUUUCUUUAUAGGGGAGUCCUCUCACGUUUCUGGCCUUCCUGGUGGGGACUCGGGGUCCCCUGGUCAGUGCUCUGUGAUGGGGGCCCUUCCUUUUUGGCUUCUUGGAUGGCAGCCACUAAGCUUUUUGCCUGUCUUUUUGAUGCUUUGUCUGCAGCCCUUUCAGCUGCCUGAGCUACCUGUUUUUGCUUUUCAAAUUCUCGAUUGUCGAAAACUCUCUGGGCUAUCUCUAAAAGCUGGCUGAUGUAAGGAAAUACUUUCUGGCUUCUCUUCAGAUAUGGUCCCUCUCUUCAGAGGUGAAAAGGGAUGAAAGGAGUUGCUGACACUCAUCCCAGAGUGUCCAGAGUUUGCCUUUUUUAAGGCGGACCCCGUAAUCAUCUGAGAAGCCUAGAGAGAAAUUCUGCAACAUACACUGGAGAGGACUCCAAUCUUUAUGGGGCCGGGAAGAAGAGUUUACUAUUCUGGAGGCAAUUAACAAGGUUUGAACAAAAAUAUUAAACCCAGCAUGGACAAAGAUAUUCACGGCCUGGGAGGCUAUGGUAUCAGAAGAACAGAAGUAUUAUAGCUAGAAGAAGUAGGAAAACAACUAUAGCCAAUAUUUCUUGCCACAUAAGGUCUGUCUCCUCAAGCUUCGAGAUCUAUGGAGAGGAUAAGAGGUGGGUCCAAGGGAUCCUCAGCCAGUGGGACUUAGGUGACCCCCCCUUCUUGACUUAUAUCCCAAAUAACUUUGGUGUCUCCACGACUCGAAAGCAAAAUGUUCAAACUCGGUCCUUUCCUUCACGGGUUUAAGGAGGGAGAACACAGCCAAGUCUUAGAGACGCUGGACUUGCUGCAACACAGGAAAAUGAGAUGUGCAGGGUAAGGGAUGGGGAUGAGGAGGAAAGGGGCCACUUGGAUUUCCCUAAAGGUUGGAGAGUAGCCAAAAGAGGUAAAAUAAGAGUCCAGACAGAGUAGAGCAGUAUGGGUGUAGGUUUCUCUGCACAGUGCCUUAUUUAAGGGCAUGGGAAAAGUUAUGGGAUGACAGAAAAGGUGAGUAAGGAGGUCAGCAGGGUGGCUAUUUUGGAUCCACCACUGGUCUAAGGAGAAGGUGGACCAGUCGUUGGGGCGUGGGGUAUGGCAAUCCAAACGCCAGCAAUCUUUAUGGUGCCAGAAAUCCUAAACGGGUGAAUGUCUUCCACACCCUUCCCCAUAACAACACCUAAUUUGUUUCUGACAGGAAAGGCAGGACUGGGAUGGCCAGCCCAACCGACUAAUGAGGAAUUUGACCUCCUGGGAUAGAAAAUCUGUACUAAGGACCUUGAAGAAGUCCUUGCCCAGUCAUUUUGGGCAGUAUCGACGAUCCGACAUAUGAAAUUUAGACAGACACUAAACAGGACAAUAGGCACUGGGGUAUAUAAACAAGCAUGGCAAUUUUUAUAGACAGACAAGGGGAGGGGGUCCCGUGAUGGGAUCAGUCAGAUGCCCUCCUGGCUGCUCCCCUUUCGGGGACUUAGGCUCCUCUUGGCAUUGGCAGGCUGGUAUAAACCCCUGGCUUGGAUCGAGCUAUGCCUGAUGCCGCCCUAAGCCUUAUGAGGUCACCACGGAACCACAGGUGAGGGCCUUCUCGAAUUCCCUAGCUUUCACCCUGGAGCUACAAACUGGAAAUUCAAGCGCAAGCCCUUGAACUCCACAUUCACUCACUCACUCACUCACUCAGAGUUUAUUACAAUUUUUAUACCCAUUCUAAAACAGAGAUCUCCCGGAGACCUGAAUGAGAGAGGGAGAAGAGAUAGAGAGAGAGAGAGACUAGACUUAACAGAGAAUCCUGACAGAAACCAGGACUCUGUCCUCCAGUGUCCUGGAGCAUGGACAGAGUCUGAGGGAGGACCUUCGUCAGGGCCGUUUCCCUCCCAGAGAGACAGAGUCAGAUCUGACUUACCU
rnacentral:lncRNA from 1 species